AACGAAAGGGGCUAGCGUUGUACGGAAUUACUGGGCGUAAAGCGCAUGUAGGCGGAUUGUUAAGUCAGGGGUGAAAGCCCGAGGCUCAACCUCGGAAUUUCCUUUGAUACUGGCAACCUCGAGUGCGGGAGAGGUGAGUGGAAUUCCCAGUGUAGAGGUGAAAUUCGUAGAUAUUGGGAAGAACACCAGUGGCGAAGGCGGCUCACUGGACCGUAACUGACGCUGAGAUGCGAAAGCGUGGGGAGCAAACAGG
rnacentral:rRNA from 1 species